AGUGAACGCUGGCGGUAGGCCUAACACAUGCAAGUCGAACGGCAGCACAGUAAGAGCUUGCUCUUACGGGUGGCGAGUGGCGGACGGGUGAGGAAUACAUCGGAAUCUACUUUUUCGUGGGGGAUAACGUAGGGAAACUUACGCUAAUACCGCAUACGACCUACGGGUGAAAGCAGGGGAUCUUCGGACCUUGCGCGAUUGAAUGAGCCGAUGUCGGAUUAGCUAGUUGGCGGGGUAAAGGCCCACCAAGGCGACGAUCCGUAGCUGGUCUGAGAGGAUGAUCAGCCACACUGGAACUGAGACGCGGUCCAGACUCCUACGGGAGGCAGCAGUGGGGAAUAUUGGACAAUGGGCGCAAGCCUGAUCCAGCCAUACCGCGUGGGUGAAGAAGGCCUUCGGGUUGUAAAGCCCCUUUGUUGGGAAAGAAAAGCAGCAGGUUAAUACCCCGCUGUUCUGACGGUACCCAAAGAAUAAGCACCGGCUAACUUCGUG
rnacentral:rRNA from 1 species